rnacentral:rRNA from 1 species
ACGUAGGGACCAAGCGUUGUUCGGAUUUACUGGGCGUAAAGGGCGCGUAGGCGGUGCUGUAAGUCACUUGUGAAAUCUCUGAGCUUAACUCAGAACGGCCAAGUGAUACUGCAGCACUAGAGUGCGGAAGGGGCAAUCGGAAUUCUUGGUGUAGCGGUGAAAUGCGUAGAUAUCAAGAGGAACACCUGAGGUGAAGACGGGUUGCUGGGCCGACACUGACGCUGAGGCGCGAAAGCCAGGGGAGCAAACGGGAUUAGAUACCCCGGUAGUCCUGGCCCUAAACGAUGAAUACUUGGUGUCUGGAGUUAUUAGUGCUCCGGGUGCCGUCGCUAACGUUUUAAGUAUUCCGCCUGGGGAGUACGCUCGCAAGAGUG